rnacentral:lncRNA from 1 species
AAUGUGUGAGGUGGUGCUAUGUAGCAGGAACCCCUCUUGCUUUGCAAAUAGUUUUUUGUUUGUUUUCCUUUUUGCCCAAUAGAGCCCUGCUCUACUGACCCUUCAAUGUGCCCGUGUGCCUAAAUAUUCCUGGUCGUGUGAAAAGAACCCAGGUAUUAGCUGAACUAAGGAGCACAAUUCUGCAACAUUUUGGCACCCAAACACGGGGCUUGAGAAAUGAAUGCAAUUGGAGAAACUGGUUGUUUUACCAGGCGUUGAUUGGAAAUGUGUGCUUCCCUUUAAGCAGUCAAGCUCAACUUGCAGAACUGAUGGGAACCCCUUGGGAAAACUGGCCUCAAAUGUUUGUCUACACAGUCCACAUACAGGGUUCUUAACCUGCGGAAACACUUUCUGAAAAUGUCAGAACUCUUGAAAACAUGGAUGAGGAAAAGCAUAAGUACUGCUUUAUGCUUUUCUUAUGAAUUUUAAAAGAUGUAAUUUAAAGAUUGAAACUCCCACAACUUUGGCAGACCAACUCCUCAGAAAACAUUAUUCUUUGACAUCAAUAUGUUUUGCACAAAAUUGAAUGGCAAGUGAAAGGCAUCAAAUGAUGGAGUCUUGUUCUGUGGUCCAGGCUAGAGGGCAGUGGCAUGAUCUCGGCUCACUACAAGCUCUGCCUCCCGGGUUCACGCCAUUCUCCUGCCUCAGCCUCCUGAGUAGCUGGGACUACAGGCGCCCGCCACCACGCCUGGCUAAUUUUUUGUAUAUUUACUAGAGAUGGCUAGUGUUAGCCAAGAUGGUCUCGAUCUCCUGACCUCGUGAUCUGCCCACCUCAGCCUGCCAAAGUGCUGGGAUUACUGGCGUGAGCCACCGUGCCUGGCCAGCAUCCUCUAAUUAUUAUUCAUAGUUUGUGAAUUUAGGCCUACGUGAAUAAUAAUAUAAUAUUUACUAUGAUGUUACUAUCUACCAACCUUAUUUUUCUUUUCUAUAAAAUAGGAGCCAAAAUAAUAUUUAUGUCAUACCUUAUGAAGUUAAAAUAAAAUAUAACGAAUGAGGGGCUUAACAA